rnacentral:rRNA from 1 species
UACGUAGGGGGCAAGCGUUGUUCGGAAUUACUGGGCGUAAAGGGCGCGUAGGCGGCAUGGCAAGUCAGGAGUGAAAGGCCUGGGCUCAACCGAGGAACUGCUUUUGAUACUGCCAAGCUAGAGUGCGGAAGGGGCAACUGGAAUUCCCAGUGUAGCGGUGAAAUGCGUAGAUAUUGGGAAGAACACCUGAGGCGAAGGCGGGUUGCUGGGCCGAUACUGACGCUGAGGAGCGAAAGCGUGGGGAGCGAACAGG